GACGAACGCUGGCGGCGUGCCUAAUACAUGCAAGUUGAGCGAUGAAGAUUGGUGCUUGCACCAAUUUGAAGAGCAGCGAACGGGUGAGUAACGCGUGGGGAAUCUGCCUUUGAGCGGGGGACAACAUUUGGAAACGAAUGCUAAUACCGCAUAACAACUUUAAACAUAAGUUUUAAGUUUGAAAGAUGCAAUUGCAUCACUCAAAGAUGAUCCCGCGUUGUAUUAGCUAGUUGGUGAGGUAAAGGCUCACCAAGGCGAUGAUACAUAGCCGACCUGAGAGGGUGAUCGGCCACAAUGGGACUGAGACACGGCCCAAACUCCUACGGGAGGCAGCAGUAGGGAAUCUUCGGCAAUGGACGAAAGUCUGACCGGGCAACGCCGCGUGAGUGAAGAAGGUUUUCGGAUCGUAAAACUCUGUUGGUAGGGAAGAACGUUGGUGAGAGUGGAAAGCUCAUCAAGUGACGGUAACUACCCAGAAAGGGACGGCUAACUACGUG
rnacentral:rRNA from 1 species